UGGGGAAUAUUGCACAAUGGGCGCAAGCCUGAUGCAGCCAUGCCGCGUGUGUGAAGAAGGCCUUCGGGUUGUAAAGCACUUUCAGCGAGGAGGAAGGUGGUGAACUUAAUACGUUCAUCAAUUGACGUUACUCGCAGAAGAAGCACCGGCUAACUCCGUGCCAGCAGCCGCGGUAAUACGGAGGGUGCAAGCGUUAAUCGGAAUUACUGGGCGUAAAGCGCACGCAGGCGGUUUGUUAAGUCAGAUGUGAAAAUCCCCGGGCUCAACCUGGGAACUGCAUUUGAAACUGGCAAGCUAGAGUCUCGUAGAGGGGGGUAGAAAUUCCAGGUGUAGCGGUGAAAUGCGUAGAGAUCUGGAGGAAUACCGGUGGCGAAGGCGGCCCCCCUGGACGAAGACUGACGCUCAGGUGCGAAAAGCGUGGGG
rnacentral:rRNA from 1 species